AUAAUUAUUUUUGUGUAGUUGUAUAUUGCAAUAAUAACGUAUGGUUGUCACAAAAUCCCACGGCACACCCGGACUUGCCUCACGGCACACCGUUUGGGAACCACUGCUAUAGGUUGUGUCAAGCAGCCAUGCAUCACAAUGAGAAUGCUGACCGUGAGCAAGCAACAACAGCUGCAGGACAACAUGUCUUCAAAGUGGCCUAUCCAAAAUCAAAGAGGGGAGAAUGUACUGCUAAGCCUGUAAAGAAGGACCCUACAUACAUGUACGUGGGUGAGCUGACGAGGCUUGUGUUUGAGGAAGUCUUUGAGGACCCAAUACCCUUUUUGGAGGAGAUGAACACAAUCCCCAUCCCAAAGGACCUGUCCACUCAAUUUGACAGGCCCUCAAAGGAGGAAGUGGUUGCCCGCCAUGUCUCCCGUUUUAGUCAAGGGGAAGUCGGAAGCCAACAUACCGUCCAGCCAGAUCAGGAAACUCCUGGCGUAUCCGGCGGACAACACAUGACGGGAUGACCACUCUGAUGCCUCGUCCUAAAUAUCCCCAGCACCAGCUUACAAAGCCGUGAUAGGCAAGAUGUCGAAAACUCCUAUAAGGGGAGGAAUGGAUACAGUAUAUAUGUAUAUUUACACAUUUUGUACAUUUCUAAAAAUAAAGUUUGAUGGAAAUA